GUGAACGCUGGCGGUAGGCCUAACACAUGCAAGUCGCACGGCAGCACAGUAAGAGCUUGCUCUUACGGGUGGCGAGUGGCGGACGGGCGAGGAAUACAUCGGAAUCUACUUUUUCGUGGGGGAUAACGUAGGGAAACUUACGCUAAUACCGCAUACGACCUACGGGUGAAAGCAGGGGAUCUUCGGACCUUGCGCGAUUGAAUGAGCCGAUGUCGGAUUAGCUAGUUGGCGGGGUAAAGGCCCACCAAGGCGACGAUCCGUAGCUGGUCUGAGAGGAUGAUCAGCCACACUGGAACUGAGACACGGUCCAGACUCCUACGGGAGGCAGCAGUGGGGAAUAUUGGACAAUGGGCGCAAGCCUGAUCCAGCCAUACCGCGUGGGUGAAGAAGGCCUUCGGGUUGUAAAGCCCUUUUGUUGGGAAAGAAAAGCGGCAGGUUAAUACCCCGCUGUUCUGACGGUACCCAAAGAAUAAGCACCGGCUAACUUCGUG
rnacentral:rRNA from 1 species